AUCACGGGCUGCGUGUGCAAGCACAACAACUUUAACAUCCCAACCACCCAUAAGAAGCCAGUCCCUUCUAUUUUCUAUUUAAAUUUUGAGAAAAUUGAUACUCAAUACCCAAGUUAAAGAAGGGGUCCGGCCUCUUUCUAGGCUUUUCUGUGUGUCUGGCCGCCUGAGAACACAGCCGACCUGCGUGGUGACCUUGACCUGACCAGAGCUCUGUCUCAGAUGGCUUCCAUAGUCAUGGUCAGUCAGAGAAGAGGAAACAGGCCCAGAGAGGGCACACCUCGCUAAGGUGUCCAGGGAUUAGAUGUGCACACUCCU
rnacentral:lncRNA from 1 species